GAUGAACGCUGGCGGCGUGCUUAACACAUGCAAGUCGAGCGAAGCACUUUACUUUGAAUUCUUCGGAAUGAAGAGUGAUUUGACUGAGCGGCGGACGGGUGAGUAACGCGUGGGCAACCUGCCUCGUACAGGGGGAUAACAGUUAGAAAUGACUGCUAAUACCGCAUAAGACCACAGUACCGCAUGGUAUGGUGGUAAAAACUCCGGUGGUAUGAGAUGGGCCCGCGUCUGAUUAGGUAGUUGGUGGGGUAACGGCCUACCAAGCCGACGAUCAGUAGCCGACCUGAGAGGGCGACCGGGCCACAUUGGGACUGAGACACGGGCCCAAACUCCUACGGGAGGCAGCAGUGGGGAAUAUUGCACAAUGGGCGAAAGCCUGAUGCAGCGACGCCGCGUGAGCGAUGAAGUAUUUCGGUAUGUAGAGCUCUAUCAGCAGGGAAG
rnacentral:rRNA from 1 species